AGUGUUCUUGCCUGGAGAAUCCCAGGGACGGGGGAGCCUGGUGGGCUGCUGUCUAUGGGGUCGCACAGAGUCGGACAUGACUGAAGCGACUUAGCAGUAGCAGCAGCAACUAAUGUAGAAUUAUGUAUACAAACAUGUGCUGUAAGCUCUAAAGUAGCAUAAAAAUGCUGACUUUUACCUAACUUGGGAUCCCUCUACCCAUAGAAGAUUUAUCUGAGUCAUGAAUUCAGGGACUUACUUCCCCUUAUGUUUAAUUUAUAAAAAUAUCAAGACUGAGACUAGUUUCUGGACAACAUCACUGAUUAACUUUUCUCUGUCUAUGAAGUGUUUAUCCAAAACUUUCCCCUAAAUCUCAAGCUCAUCCUCAGGAUGCAGCCUUGUCUAGAAACAGGUUCUCCUGGCUUUGGUGCAGUUACAAGUCACUGGGUCACAUUUCUACCCUGCCCUGAAGAACUGCCAUGGUCAGGUGUGUGCCUAGGGGUCCAUGAUCAGGGCCAAGAAGUCAAAGGUCCCAGGAGAAAUGCAGAGUCCUUCCUGCAAGGCUGAUAGGAGAGGGGGGUCUGUGGGUGAGCCUCCCUUCCCUCUGGUUCCCACUGGAAGGCUACAAGAGACAAAGAAGUCAGAGUUUAUAUGCCUAAGGAGGCUGACUACUUUGGGCAGAUCUCACAAGACUGGAAGUACCCUUGGUACUACAACAUGGAAGGUGCAGUGAAGGAGGCCUGUACACUGUCUUAUUUCAGUGUGGGCUAAAAGUUCCAUGUAGGAUGAUUCAUAUGGGAGCUGCUGCCUGGCUGCUUUUUCUUGAACUAUAAUAAAUGUAUUUAUAAGUCACCAUGGUGGCUGAGCUCUGCAGGCUGAAAUUCAGGCGGAGUAUCUUUGUUGUUGUCUUGAAAAUUCCUCCUCAGGAAACCCCAGUCUUGGCUUUUAAGCCCUUCCCCUGAUUGGACGAGGCUCACCCACAUUAUGGAGAGCAAUCUGCUUUACCCAUAGUCUACUGAUUUCACUGCUAAUCAUAUCCAAAAAGUAUGUUCACAGCAACAUCAGGACUGGGUGAGCCUGUGGAUGAACUACCCUUCACUUGACCAAAUAACUGGGUGCCACGGUCUAGUCAAGUUGACAUGUAAAAUAAUCAUUAUGGCCACUUUCCGAGUUUUCUUCCCCUCCUCUGGCUGCCCCAGGUUGUAAUGCUUCUAUCAGUGAUGAUGCUUUCAAAUGCAAAGUCACAAAAACAAUCUUUUCAAACAGGAUUCAACUCUAAGGGGAACUUAUUGGCUCUUGUAACUGAAGAAUCCACAGCAGACCAGCUUGAGGUCUGACUCACUUCAGGUUCAUACCUCAUCUCUCCCUGGUUCUCACCUCAUCUCUCCGUGGUUCCCUGUGUUGAUUUUAUCUUCAGGCAGGCUUCCCCCAAGAUUAUAAGAUGGUUGACAUGCUUUCUUAUUCACACCCAAGAGGAAAGAGCAGUCGCAUCCUUCCCAGAACAGAGCAGAAAGAGCACCAAGCUUGUCUCUGCUUGGCUUGGUCCUGACAUCAUGUGGCCAAGGGAAUAGCCUGCUCUGAUUGGCUUAGGUCUGCCCACACCCUGACCGAUCCCAGAGCAAGGGUAUGAGAUUUCCCUGACUGGCAUCUAGGUUGGGGUCUUCCCUGGAGCCAGGGGUAGGAUCAAUCCCAGCCAAACAAGCAGCUGCUGCACAGUAGCCAAGGGGUGGUCCGGAUGUGGACGAUAACCUUAGAUCUCUGCAUCGGUCUCUGAAACUUGAAGCUGCUGCUGCUGCUGCUGCGUCUCCGAAGCUUGCAGCUGCGGUGCCCAAGUCUAGGGCACAGGUAGUGCUGCAGCCUAUGGGACUUGUGCCCACGGGGUGAGUGGUCUUAGCCUGCGGGGUCAUAGGCAGCAGAGAGGACAGCUGCCCAGAAAGAGAGCUGUGUUCCCUUGGAUGUCAGGGCAGAGUGAGUCCAGCGUGGAGGGGCUGGUGGUGGUCAACAGGCUGGCAGCUGUGUGCUCACUUUCAACUUCCUUGUUUCUAAACUGCCUCCCUGCUGCUAAGGGAGUGAUCUCAGGACUGAACUCCUAGCAGCCAACUUUACCACUGUCAGCGUUCGAGCAGGGCUGUGACGCCGCCAAGAGGAGUGGAUUCUUUACAGACUGAGCCACCAGGACCUUCAAGUUGCAAAAUUCCAAAGAUGCUAAUGUGAGAGCCAGCCUCUGUAUGCCAGCUGCUGUACUGUGCUACUAUACUUUUCAAGGUCCUGUACUGUCAGAUUAAAAAUGUUUUCUUUACUUUUUGUGUUGGUUUUUUUAUAUAUUAUUUAUGUGGAAAGUAUUAUAAACCUAUUACAGUACCACCACCCCUGCCGCCAAGUCACUU